rnacentral:rRNA from 1 species
UACGUAGGGUGCGAGCGUUAAUCGGAAUACUGGGCGUAAAGCGUGCGCAGGCGGCGGCUCAAGUCAGGUGUGAAAUCCCCGGGCUUAACCUGGGAAUGGCGUUUGGGACUGGGAGUCUGGAGUGCGGCAGAGGAGACUGGAAUUCCUGGUGUAGCAGUGAAAUGCGCAGAUAUCGGGAAGAACACCCGUGGCGAAGGCGGUUCUCUGGGACGGUACUGACGCUGAGACGCGAAAGCGUGGGGAGCGAACAGG